CAGCAGCCGCGGGAAUACGGAGGGGGCUAGCGUUGUUCGGAAUUACUGGGCGUAAAGCGCACGUAGGCGGCUUGGUAAGUUAGAGGUGAAAGCCCAGGGCUCAACCCUGGAAUUGCCUUUAAGACUGCCGAGCUAGUAGGUGAGAGAGGUGAGUGGAAUUCCGAGUGUAGAGGUGAAAUUCGUAGAUAUUCGGAAGAACACCAGUGGCGAAGGCGGCUCACUGGCUCAUUCUAGACGCUGAGGUGCGAAAGCGUGGGGAGCAAACAGGAUUAGAUACCCCCGUAGUCCCUGUCUCUUAUAC
rnacentral:rRNA from 1 species